UGCUCACUUUGACAGUAUACUAAAAUUGGAAAGAUACAGAGACGAUUAGCAUGACUCCUGUGUGAGGAUGGCACACAAAUUCAGGAAGCGAUGCGUAUUAAA